AUGCACGGUGAGGAUAUAUCCUUCCCUGGAGCUACCAAUCCCCUUCACUGGUCUUACGGGCUCGAAGUUACCAUGGAGAUGUCAGUCCAGGAUGUCGCUUACUCCAUGUUAACUAUCAUUCGAGUUGGGCACGCGUCGCUUCAGGACAUUGAGUUCUGCUAUCUGCCAGCAGCACUUACUGGCCAGGAGGGUUACUACACUGGUCUUUACACUGACGCUACUCAUGAGGAGCCGCGCCUUUGGACGACCACAGAGAUGCUGGAGGAAAGGGAUUGUGAGGUCCGUGCCCUCCGGAUGGAGCUUUACAACACUCGAGCUGACCACUUGGCCGCUCUGACAUGGCUUGCACCCGCCGUGUAG
rnacentral:rRNA from 1 species